UUACAAGCUGUGGAAGCACAUUUCUUGUGUGACCGCGUACUUUUUGUAGAACGGGCCAACGAGUUACGUUAAGUAGCAAGGUUAAGCACUUAAGGUGCGGAGCCGUAGCGAAAGCGAGUUUUAACUGAGCGUUCAGUUACUUGACGUAGACCCGAAACCGGGCGACCUACCCAUGAGCAGGAUGAAGCGAAAGUAAAAUUUCGUGGAGGUCCGAACCCACGAGCGUUGAAAAGCUCGGGGAUGACUUGUGGAUAGCGGUGAAAUUCCAAUCGAGCCCGGAGAUAGCUGGUUCUCCCCGAAAUAGCUUUAGGGCUAGCCUCAAGGUGAGAGAUACGGAGGUAGAGCACUGAAUGUCCUAGGGGGUAUUGCACCUACCGAA
rnacentral:rRNA from 1 species